UCGGUUUCGCCACAGCGCUCUUUCCACAUCCCUAUGUUAUUUUAAAGAAAUGGAGGUUUUUAGUUAUGGCCAUUGGAGGUAACUAAAAACCUCCAUUUGUUUAAAAAUACAUAGGGAUGUGGAAAGAGCGCAGGUAACUUUUUUCAUUGG